CCUUACCCAAGAGGCCAGCCCAUGCCCACCUUCUAACCCCAGUUCUGCUAUGGUUUAUUCUGAGACUUGACACAGAUCAUUGCACAGUCAUGAAUCUGCUCAAGAGGCAGUCCUAAAUUCCAAAGGGACAUGGGAAUCUCUGAAUAGCAGCAGCUGUUGCCUCUGACUCAGCCUAUCCAAAAAGUACUAAUUUGGAAGUUUGGCCAAGGCUGAUCUAGUAAUGGCACGCACACAGGAGAUCACUGUGCGCUAAAUGCUGUUCCACUUUCAUCUGUGUGGAAACUGAACUGGGAAGCUCAGAGCCCUGGGUUACUUUAAGCUUCCCUCUGAGCUGGCCUGACAGAGGCUCAAGAGCCUUGGAGGCACACAACUUCAGCUUCUACCUACUGCCACAGAGCCAGCCAAAACACAUCACUUUGAGAUUAUGGAUCCUUACACCAGAGGCUGACAUUUUCAGGUGGGAGAUGCAGCUUAAUGACUGGAACUAAGGCCUAGGCAGAAGGGACCUAGGCCUAGAGAAACACACCACCGAUAACUAAGCUGAAGUUUUGCCUCCCUGCCUCAACUUGCCCCUUCAGAGGGGUUUCUUGUCUGCCCUUGUGAAUAUAUGGUUUCAGUUAGUUUGGAGCACUCGAUGUGAUGAUUUAAAGGUUCUUGUCAGCCAUGUAAUUAUUUUCAAUAACAAAGACUUACAGAUUAAUUUGACUGCUUUACUAUUCAUGUCUUCCUUUUCUAUACCAAGAAAGCCAACCCAGAAGGCAGGAUUUCACAGUUCAGCAGUUCUUCCACACAGGUCUCUCUGGCCAGGAAUUUACUUCAACCUAUACUGUCAUAAAUAGGACUAUCACAUGGCUGAAGAUCCAUAUGCUGCAUUACCAUCUUGCAGUGCUACUGUCUGUUUUCUUCUCCACUUCUGCUUCUUGUAUGCCAACUGGGGUUUUUUUAUAUUAUUUGUGACAUUUCAUUAAGUUUCAUUUAUUGUUCUGAGGCACAUUCUCAAGUGGCUUCCUUCAGCUACAUAUUAUCUACACAGCAUCACCAGUCAUGUCAGAGUAGUUCUUGCUAAACCAGCAUGAGUAUUUCUCAGGG